rnacentral:rRNA from 1 species
GAUGAACGCUAGCGGCAGGCCUAACACAUGCAAGUCGAGGGGCAGCACAGAAACAGCAAUGUUUUGGUGGCGACCGGCGGACGGGUGCGUAACGCGUAUGCAACCUACCUUUAACAGGGGGAUAACGGAGAGAAAUUUCCACUAAUACCCCAUAACAUCGAUCAAGGCAUCUUGAUUGGUUGAAAACUCCGGUGGUUAAAGAUGGGCAUGCGUUGUAUUAGGUAGUUGGUGAGGUAAUGGCUCACCAAGCCUACGAUACAUAGGGGGACUGAGAGGUUAGCCCCCCACACUAGUACGGAGACACGGACCAGACUCCUACGGGAGGCAGCAGUGAGGAAUAUUGGUCAAUGGGGGCAACCCUGAACCAGCCAUGCCGCGUGCAGGAGGACGGCUCUAUGAGUUGUAAACUGCUUUUAAACAGGGAUAAAGCACAGUAUGUAUACUGUGUUGAAGGUACUGUAAGAAUAAGGAUCGGCUAACUCCGUGCCAGCCGCCGCAGUAA